rnacentral:rRNA from 1 species
CGUAGGGUGCAGGCGUUAAUCGGAAUUACUGGGCGUAAAGCGUGCGCAGGCGGUUUGUUAAGACAGAUGUGAAAUCCCCGGGCUUAACCUGGGAACUGCGUUUGUAACUGGCAAGCUAGAGUGUGGCAGAGGGGGUGGAAUUCCACGUGUAGCAGUGAAAUGCGUAGAGAUGUGGAGGAACACCGAUGGCGAAGGCAGCCCCCUGGGCUAACACUGACGCUCAUGCACGAAAGCGUGGGGGAGCAAACAGGAUU